rnacentral:rRNA from 1 species
AAUCGCUAGUAAUCGCGGAUCAGAAUGCCGCGGUGAAUACGUUCCCGGGCCUUGUACACACCGCCCGUCACACCAUGGGAGUUUGUUGCACCAGAAGUAGCUAGCCUAACUGCAAAGAGGGCGGUUACCACGGUGUGGCCGAUGACUGGGGUGAAGUCGUAACAAGGUAGCCGUAGGGGAACCUGCGGCUGGAUCACCUCCUUA